UAAAGCAUAACUCAAAUACGAGUCCCUGAUACUUUUUCUUAGAACUAAUUGUACUACUGUAUUUGCUUGAAUAUGAGCCAGGAAUAAACUACAGACAUGAGUGUCAGAAGAAAUAUAUGACCAGACAUAUACACUGUUUGUUCACUAUUCCAUACAUACUUUAAAUUGCAAGGGGUGGCAGAAGGUGUUUCAAUUUGCUCACACAUUUUCAUUUACUGAGUUCAAAAUAGGUUUGUUAGACAGUAUUCUUUGUUGUCUUUUAGGUUCCUAUUUGCUGCUGUUUUACAGAGCAUACUGUCUGGUCCUGACUGUGUAUGAGGCAGCCGAGUUGUAGGUGGAGAGUCUGCAUUUGGGCCAGCUAAGAGGAGUAAUGGUUGUUAUCCAGUUAGUUUUGGCUAGAAGUAGACUGGGGGGAAAGGAGGAGGGGGCAGCCUUCAUAAACAUCAUUAAUUGCAGAGGGUGCAACACAGUUAUUUUUCUUGGUGUUGGGGAAAAGAAAGAAUGGCUUCACUGGUGUGUUCUGAUUUUGCAUUUCCAGAUACUUACAUAAGAACAAAACCACAUUGCUGAUUUGCAAAUAGAAACACCCAAGGCCUCCACACGGUAUAACUCUAGCUCAAAUUCCAAUUACUUUACUUUUGUGAAAGCAUCUGUUAAAAUCUGAUUUGUUUCCUAAAGAAGAAAAUACUGAGAGAACUUUCACAUGGGAUAGUAGGACAGUCUCUUUUAGAUACCUGAAUCACAUAGCACCCUAUUAACCUACACACUCCAUCUGUACAAUCACCGCUUUUAGAGGAGAUACUCCACAUCAAGCUUCCUGACAUUUCUGCCCACUUUGUACUAACCAUGAAAGAAUACAAAUGAAUCUUGCACAUGGGAUGUGAGCAAGUUUCAACAGAUUAGAUACACAAAGGUAACCACUGCCAAAUGGACUAGGGAAUGCCUUCAGAAUUCACUAGUUAGUCCACUUUGAAAGUGGGAUGCAUUACACUUAUUACAAGUGUUUGCUGAAAACGGACAAAGGUAAAGUAGCCAGUCUGACAUAAAUUCGCGCCUUAGCUUGUUUCUCUUUAAUUUUCCUAUGUCAGACACAGUGAUGAAAGAUGAGACUUUAAAUUGAUUGCACUGAGGAAAUCCAAAAAGUUGUCUGUUCACAUUCAAACUAUGCUUCCUGACUUAGUUUAGCUGAUUAGGAAUGGAAAUCAAUGUAAGUGGCUGCAUGCGAAUUUGCUCUAGCUUAACUGAAGCAUUUAAAAAUGCCUUCUACACUGAAAUCUGGCAGCAUCUGUUUUCUCAGGCAGCCUGACUCAGAAUCCUGAUGAGCUGUCAGCUGGAUUCUACUCUUCUCUGGUGUAGGCUUGGAUAAAGAUGACCUGAGCCAUUAGUCCUGACACAACCACUUUUUCUGAGGAGCUUAUGGAAGUACCAGAAAAAAUACACUUCCCUUAAGGGGAAUUCCCACUUCCCUUGGAAUUUUCAGAAGCUCAUUAUUUAAAUGAUGUCCUCCACCAAGACAAAGGACACAUCUGACACAUGGUGUUACUUGGCAGGCAAGAGAAAUGAUGGAAAAAACCUACUGGGAGUCUGUCACUUAAUGGUUUUAUCUGAGCACAAGGCAGUGCCAAGCAGUAUUCUUCCUUGCUUACUGCAAUGGGAUGCUGCUAGAACUCCUUCACAAAAUCAGAUUCACUAGAGGUAGAUGCUUACUGGAUUAGAGCCAGUUUGUGAUCUGCUGGAUGAUACGCUGAACUGAUAUUUAUGGGCCAAGUCACAGGCUGAAGGUCAAAGCUGGAGGCUUGAUGGGUCUGUGUCUUGGUUUGCUGCUUUUCUCAGGCAAGGCCUGGAAGGGAUUCUCAGGUUACAAUAAGCAUGGUCCUGUAUGCUGUGUAGUGACCAGCACCACAGGGGAAACAGCUGUUCAAGUUUCUUUUCCCCUUGCUUCAAAAAGCAAAUAGCUCCCUUAACAGCUCAAGCCAGAAACAUAUACCAGAACAGUAAUGUUUUCAAAAGUUUGUUUGAUUAUUUUAUCAUACAAGAAAGGUAAUAUAAGAAGAUUAAAAAUCUGGCUUCAAUAAAGUCAUUAGCAAAGCUCUUUCUAACUUCAGUAAGUUCAGAAUUUUACCUGAAAUAUUAAUUGUUAAAGUCCACUUUUCUUUUGAAAAGCUGGACCCUACAUUUACUUCUAUCUAGUAUUUUCCCAGUACUCUCCUGCUCUUGCUGUUUCUAAAUACAAGAAACAAGAGAGACAAAGCUUUAGGUAUUAGAAGAGAAAAUCCUAUAACAGAAAAACUGCUGAAUGAAGUUACGUAACUUAAGAAUAGUUGGGUUUCUCUUGAUGUUUUGAAUUCUGAAGAUGCUUAAUAACAAAGUGGCAUUUUAAGUUUCCAACAAACGAUACUUUCUCGCUAACAACAGCUUUCAAACCAGAAUUAUAUUUUUUCACUAAUACUCAAAAAAACUGGAAAGCCGCAAAUAGUUUUUUUUCUAAUCUUUUAAUAAACCUAGUGAAUAGU